AGUUUGAUCCUGGCUCAGGAUGAACGCUGGCGGCGUGCUUAACACAUGCAAGUCGAACGGGGAUGCCAUUUUCGAGGUGAUUAGUUUACUAAGAGCCAAGAUGUUGGCAUCUUAGUGGCGGACGGGUGAGUAACGCGUGGGUAACCUGCCUUAUACAGGGGGAUAACACUUAGAAAUAGGUGCUAAUACCGCAUAAGCGCACGGGGCUGCAUGGCCCAGUGUGAAAAACUCCGGUGGUAUAAGAUGGACCCGCGUCUGAUUAGCUUGUUGGCGGGGUAACGGCCCACCAAGGCGACGAUCAGUAGCCGGCCUGAGAGGGUGGACGGCCACAUUGGGACUGAGACACGGCCCAAACUCCUACGGGAGGCAGCAGUGGGGAAUAUUGGACAAUGGGGGGAACCCUGAUCCAGCGACGCCGCGUGAGUGAAGAAGUAUUUCGGUAUGUAAAGCUCUAUCAGCAGGGAAGAAAGAAAUGACGGUACCUGACUAAGAAGCCCCGGCUAACUACGUGCCAGCAGCCGCGGUAAUACGUANGGGGCAAGCGUUAGCCGGAUUUACUGGGUGUAAAGGGAGCGUAGACGGUUACGCAAGUCUGGAGUGAAAGGCGGGGGCCCAACCCCCGGACUGCUUUGGGAACUGUAUAACUGGAGUGCAGGAGAGGUAAGUGGAAUUCCUAGUGUAGCGGUGAAAUGCGUAGAUA
rnacentral:rRNA from 1 species